UCUUGGUUCCGGCAUCGAUGAAGAACGCAGCGAAAUGCGAUAACUAGUGUGAAUUGCAGAAUUCCGUGAAUCAUCGAGUCUUUGAACGCACAUUGCGCCCCCUGGUAUUCCGGGGGGCAUGCCUGUCCGAGCGUCAUUGCUGCCCAUCAAGCACGGC
rnacentral:rRNA from 1 species